CCUACGGGAGGCAGCAGUAGGGAAUAUUGGGCAAUGGAGGCAACUCUGACCCAGCCAUGCCGCGUGCAGGAUGAAGGCGUUAUGCGUUGUAAACUGCUUUUAUAUAGGAAGAAAGAGUUCUUGCGAGAACAGUUGACGGUACUAUAUGAAUAAGCACCGGCUAACUCCGUGCCAGCAGCCGCGGUAAUACGGAGGGUGCAAGCGUUGUCCGGAUUUAUUGGGUUUAAAGGGUGCGUAGGCGGUUUAUUAAGUCAGUGGUGAAAGACGGUCGCUCAACGAUUGCAGUGCCAUUGAUACUGGUAGACUUGAGUGAGAUUGAGGUAGCUGGAAUGGAUAGUGUAGCGGUGAAAUGCAUAGAUAUUAUCCAGAACACCAAUUGCGUAGGCAAGUUACUAAGUCUCAACUGACGCUGAGGCACGAAAGUGUGGGUAUCAAACAGGAUUAGAUACCCUGGUAGUCCACACUGUAAACGAUGAUAACUAACUGUUGGUUUUCGAAUCAGUGGUACAGAGAAAUCGUUAAGUUAUCCACCUGGGGAGUACGCCGGCAACGGUGAAACUCAAAUGAAAUUGACCGGNGUGAGAGAGCGAGGACGACACGAGGGAGGAGG
rnacentral:rRNA from 1 species